rnacentral:pre_miRNA from 1 species
CGCUAUUUCAAAGUAAUAGACAUUGUGUAGACGCGGUUAUUUCGAGAGAAAACCCUUCUCUCGAAAUAACUCUUAAACCACAUUGUAUGAGGAAUAAGGGUUAUUUCGAGAGAAGGGUUUUUUCUCGAAAUAACCGCAUCUACAUAGCGUCUGUUUAUUCGAAAUAGCG